CGGAGCGUAGCGCAGUCUGGUAGCGCACCUGAUUUGGGAUCAGGGGGUCGGAGGUUCGAAUCCUCUCGCUCCGACCA
rnacentral:tRNA from 1 species